UACAGAGGUCUCAAGCGUUGUUCGGAUUCAUUGGGCGUAAAGGGUGCGUAGGCGGCGCGGUAAGUCAGGUGUGAAAUCUCGGAGCUUAACUCCGAAACUGCAUUCGAUACUGCCGUGCUUGAGGACUGGAGAGGAGACUGGAAUUUACGGUGUAGCGGUGAAAUGCGUAGAUAUCGUAAGGAAGACCAGUGGCGAAGGCGGGUCUCUGGACAGUUCCUGACGCUGAGGCACGAAGGUCAGGGGAGCAAACGGG
rnacentral:rRNA from 1 species